AUUAGCCAUGCAAGUCUCAGUACAAGCCAAAUUAAGGCGAAACCGCAAAAGGCUCAUUAAAUCAGUUAUGGUUCCUUGGAUCGUACAAUCCAUUACUUGGAUAACUGUGGUAAUUCUAGAGCUAAUACAUGCAAACAGAAUCCCGACCUGAGAAGGAAGGGACGCUUUUAUUAGAUCAAAACCAAUCGGAGCUUCGGCUCCGCACUUCUUGGUGACUCUGAAUAACUUUUAGCUGAUCGCACGGUCCUCGUACCGGCGACGCAUCUUUCAAAUGUCUGACUUAUCAACUGUCGAUGGUAGAUUCUGCGCCUACCAUGGUUGUAACGGGUAACGGGGAAUCAGGGUUCGAUUCCGGAGAGGGAGCCUGAGAAACGGCUACCACAUCCAAGGAAGGCAGCAGGCGCGCAAAUUACCCACUCCCGGCACGGGGAGGUAGUGACGAAAAAUAACGAUACGGGACUCAUCCGAGGCCCCGUAAUCGGAAUGAGUACACUUUAAAUCCUUUAACGAGUACCAAUUGGAGGGCAAGUCUGGUGCCAGCAGCCGCGGUAAUUCCAGCUCCAAUAGCGUAUAUUAAAGUUGUUGCGGUUAAAAAGCUCGUAGUUGAAUCUGUGUCUUACGAUGUCGGUUCACCGCUCGCGGUGUUAACUGGCAUGUCCUGUGGGACGUCCUGCCGGUGGUGGUCCGGGCUCUUGGCUGUGUAGGUUCACCGAAGCAUGCCUUGAGUUCCGGCUGCCGAUUCAAUCCCGCCGCGGUGCUCUUGACUGAGUGUCGAGGUGGGCCGGCACGUUUACUUUGAACAAAUUAGAGUGCUUAAAGCACGCUGAUUUCUGCCUGAAUACUGUGUGCAUGGAAUAAUGGAAAUAGGACUUCGGUUCUAUUUUGUUGGUUUUAAGAAUCCGAAGUAAUGAUUAAUAGGGACAGGCGGGGGCAUUCGUAUUGCGACGUUAGAGUGAAAUUCUUGGAUCGUCGCAAGACGUACCUAAGCGAAAGCAUUUGCCAAGUAUGUCCUCGUAUCAGA
rnacentral:rRNA from 1 species